AUGUGACAUAAAAUGUUCGUUGGAGCAAAACAAACAUAGUUCAAGUCAAGUUUGCCUGUGGUCAAGGGAAGAAGGCUCUGAUUGUGAAAGUUGGGACCUUGGGCAGGGACACAUUGUGCAGGGCAUGCCACACUGAGAAAGCACAAGGACCCUGACAAUGUGGAAAUGUGUUUCUAGGAUGCAUCUCUGGGAGGUGAAUGUCAUCCUGCAUGGCUCCCUCCAGUCAAUCUAGAGAAGAAAACAGCCCCGUUCCCACAAGCACUGAUGGGCAGAGGGCCUGCAAAUGAAAAGUGCUCCUGAGUCAGUUCAAGUGUUGCCUGGUAUCCGCUGUUACCAGGGUAACUGGUGAAGAUGAUUCAAUGCAAGUGUUAGAAUCUCCCCUUCCCUGGCACCUGGUCCUAUCAGGGCUUCCAGGUUCUUGCCAACCCUGAGUGAGACCUGAGUCUCCCCCAGCCUGGAUGUGGUGCAGUCACAGCCGUGAGUCUGCAGUUGAGAAGGAAAUUGUCUACGUGAGAAGAGCAAGGACUGCAUCUACAGUUUUAUGUCUCAGGGUAACCUGUACCUGAAGCUGACAUUUUCAUGGUUUCAUGUAAAGAAGUGCACAGCUCAGGGAUGUGAGUCUGCCCCACAGCUGAUCAUUACAAACGAAGAAAACAGCUUUCUCUCCACUGUGUUCCACCUCAUGCUGCUGAGGAUGGCCGGACAGGCAGUGACUGAGGAAGGAGGAAGGCUGUGUUCUGAGGGUGGUCAUGCCUCCUGCCCACCUGAGUGACCUCAUGGAGCAGAGCCACCGACACCACCAAGGGCACCUGCCUGCCUCUGCGCUGCUAUGGCACAGACACAGAAACCCUGUCACAUUUAGUCCACCAUAUUAUGAAGUUUCUUUGUAAUAA
rnacentral:lncRNA from 10 species